UACAGAGGAUGCAAGCGUUAUCCGGAAUGAUUGGGCGUAAAGCGUCUGUAGGUGGCUUUUCAAGUCCGCCGUCAAAUCCCAGGGCUCAACCCUGGACAGGCGGUGGAAACUACCAAGCUGGAGUACGGUAGGGGCAGAGGGAAUUUCCGGUGGAGCGGUGAAAUGCGUUGAUAUCGAUAGGAACUCCGGUGGCGAAGGCGGCAUACUGGUCCACUUCUGACGCUGAGGCGCGAAAGCCAGGGGAGCGAACGGG
rnacentral:rRNA from 1 species